rnacentral:rRNA from 1 species
UACGUAGGGUCCGAGCGUUUGUCCGGAAUUACUGGGCGUAAAGAGCUCGUAGGUGGUUUGUCGCGUUGUUCGUGAAAACUCACAGCUCAACUGUGGGCGUGCGGGCGAUACGGGCAGACUAGAGUACUGCAGGGGAGACUGGAAUUCCUGGUGUAGCGGUGGAAUGCGCAGAUAUCAGGAGGAACACCGGUGGCGAAGGCGGGUCUCUGGGCAGUAACUGACGUGGAGGAGCGAAAGCCGUUGGGGAGCGAACAGG